GACAGCUUCAAAGGUACGACUCGUGUUUGCAGGGCGUCAUGGAUGAGUUGGUUUUAACACCGGCACUAUUGUAUGAAGAUGGGUGACCUAUGUAUGCUAGGUCACGCCUACUGACAGGGGCUACACAGUUUACCUAACGGGAAAUCUAGCACUGUAGUCUUUGAUCGAACCGACACAGUGCAGUCUGCUGCAGAAGGACUAUCACUUUAAACUGAAGUGUUUUCAAACAACAUGUUCCCGGCUAAUAAAAAUAACAUCCUUCGAGAAUAGAGAACAGUCUGACCUAAUUUAUAAACGUGAAAUGUUUGAAUUUUAGAAAUGCAUAGUGUGCAAUUUAAUUAACAGUUUUAAAAAAAAUUAGAGAUCCUCCCUUGCAUCUAAUAUCUGGGAGAAAAAAAAUCAAUAUUUGUUUUACUGAAAGACCGUCACUUUAAAUAAAAAUAUCAAGUGUACUCAAAACAACAUGUUCUCGGUUAAUAUUA